rnacentral:lncRNA from 1 species
CGUGUUGGCUGUGCGGUGUAGUAAGCGAAUAGCGCGCCCGGGCUCCUCCGUAGUCAUGUCAUUCGGCAUUCGCUCGAUGAUUCCUGCCUGUGAUGCCGAGAAAAUAGAAUGAAAGUUUGUGUGAACCAGCUCGAAUUUCUUGAGCUUCUCUUCAAGGAUUAAACAAAUAUUCCUGAAAUACUUGGGCAUGACGGAAGUUGGCCAGAGAAGUAUUUACUGUGAACACUUGCAGUUACUGCCAAGGAAGGAAAUAUUCUCUCAGGCCGAACCCAACAAAGGCGUAUCAAUAUGCGGAGUGUGAUGCACGACAGGAUGGUGUUGGCUGCAGGAGCCCUCUCGACGCUGCUGCUCUUGCUCCAUCCUACCUUCUGCGCCGCUGAUGAAUUCUUCGAAAAGGCAAACGACAAGCAGAUCCUGGAUUUUUUGUUGCACAAGAGCACGUACGACAAGAGAGU